ACAGAGGAAAUGUCUUUUGAAAGCUUUACUGACUCCAGGUAGAUUUCUUCCAACAAUUUCUUGCUUCUUGUGAUGUUAGAAGAGCAAUUAUGUUCCUGUGAGCAGCUGAUGGAGGACAUCAUCAACAUGGAAGUACUUCUUUGUGAGAGAAGUGUCAGCUUACCUUUAUAUUAAUAGAUAUUACCUUUGGAUAUAUCUGUGGGAAAAGAAAAGCUGUUUCAGUCCAAGCGAUUCUCCUGCGUCAGCCUCCCAAAUAGCUGGGAUUACAGGUUUCUUUCUGAAGAGGGUGAAGGUCCCUACCCCAGAAUAUGGUCAGGACCUCAUAGGAACACCAAGAAAUCCAGGGAAGAUUCAUUUUCCUACAGCUGUGUUAGCUCAAGAAGGAUAGAUUUCAAUGCCAGUUAGUAUAGCAUUAUCUAGAUAUAUAAUCUGUAAAUUUUUUACAAAUACAAUCCAAUAUUACACAUUGG